CCAGGGUUUAGUGUUUCGGAGAUAUAGCCGGAUCUGUGGCCAAUCAGUGAGUUAGGGUUUUAGCAAAGAGUUUUCAAAUUCGUGUAGUGCGAUUGCAUGCUUUGAGAGUUGGAGGAAGCAAUGGCGAGUUCGUAUCCUGUACCUGCUAAUGUUGUUCAGAUUUGGUCAAAGCUUCUUGAGGAUGAUCAGUUCGCAAGAUUUCUUUUGGUCGAAGUCCAAAGUCUGGGAAGGAGAGAGAGAGAGAGCUCUGUUCCCACUUUCGUUUCUAUGUUUGAUAUGAUUUUGGAGGCCAGACUGGUGACUACAAGAGCCAAUAAGAUUGCAGUUUUCAGUGACAAACUAAGGAGAAAUUUAAAGAGAGUCAUUACAAAUUAAGGUUGAACAUAACAUAUGAGGAUUGGUACAACUGAGUUUGAGGAUGACUUACUGUGAGGAUGAGGAAGUUAAUGAAAGCAGAAUAGUGACUGAUACAACUUUGCAGGAGCAGGAGAUGAAGAGAAGUUCAGCAACUUUGAAGCAGAGUUAACAGAAGCCUGGAGGGACCAGAAGGUGUCCAAAGUGCUCGGAUGUCUUCGAGGAACUUAGUGAUGAACUACUAUUAAAACCAUGAGAAAUCAAUGCAACACUAGGAA